AUGUUAGUUUCAAGUUUUAUCCUUGUUGAGUACAUGAAGGUGGAACAUGAGGAAGGGUGGGAGAAGAUUAGAUAUCGUUUCAUUUUCUUGCAAGGAGAGGAUGGUUACGAAGAAAUGGCAAGAAAUGGAGAGAGAAUCAGGUUUAUUACUGUAUGGAUGGAAACCACAUGCCAGCUUGUCCAACAUAUUUCUACAUUGAGUCAAUUAUUCGACCGCUAUGUUUUUUUUAUUCCAUGGCAAUGCAUGGUCAUUCAACUAUUCAAAUUUACAGGUUGUUUAUCCACUUUUUUCAAGCUAUUUACAUAUUUGUCACUUGUCAGCAAGUUUGCAUAUGAUGCUAGGAAAUGA
rnacentral:rRNA from 1 species